AUGAACGCUAGCGACAGGCUUAACACAUGCAAGUCGAGGGGCAGCACAGGUAGCAAUACCGGGUGGCGACCGGCGCACGGGUGAGUAACGCGUAUGCAACUUACCUAUCAGAGGGGGAUAACCCGGCGAAAGUCGGACUAAUACCGCAUGAAGCAGGGGCCCCGCAUGGGGAUAUUUGCUAAAGAUUCAUCGCUGAUAGAUAGGCAUGCGUUCCAUUAGGCAGUUGGCGGGGUAACGGCCCACCAAACCGACGAUGGAUAGGGGUUCUGAGAGGAAGGUCCCCCACAUUGGUACUGAGACACGGACCAAACUCCUACGGGAGGCAGCAGUGAGGAAUAUUGGUCAAUGGGCGUAAGCCUGAACCAGCCAAGUCGCGUGAGGGAUGAAGGUUCUAUGGAUCGUAAACCUCUUUUAUAAGGGAAUAAAGUGCGGGACGUGUCCCGCUUUGUAUGUACCUUAUGAAUAAGGAUCGGCUAACUCCGUGCCAGCAGCCGCGGUAAUACGGAGGAUCCGAGCGUUAUCCGGAUUUAUUGGGUUUAAAGGGUGCGUAGGCGGCCUUUUAAGUCAGCGGUGAAAGUCUGUGGCUCAACCAUAGAAUUGCCGUUGAAACUGGGGGGCUUGAGUAUGUUUGAGGCAGGCGGAAUGCGUGGUGUAGCGGUGAAAUGCUUAGAUAUCACGCAGAACCCCGAUUGCGAAGGCAGCCUGCCAAGCCAUGACUGACGCUGAUGCACGAAAGCGUGGGGAUCAAACAGGAUUAGAUACCCUGGUAGUCCACGCAGUAAACGAUGAUCACUAGCUGUUUGCGAUACACUGUAAGCGGCACAGCGAAAGCGUUAAGUGAUCCACCUGGGGAGUACGCCGGCAACGGUGAAACUCAAAGGAAUUGACGGGGGCCCGCACAAGCGGAGGAACAUGUGGUUUAAUUCGAUGAUACGCGAGGAACCUUACCCGGGUUUGAACGCAUUCGGACCGAGGUGGAAACACCUUUUCUAGCAAUAGCCGUUUGCGAGGUGCUGCAUGGUUGUCGUCAGCUCGUGCCGUGAGGUGUCGGCUUAAGUGCCAUAACGAGCGCAACCCUUGCCACUAGUUACUAACAGGUAAAGCUGAGGACUCUGGUGGGACUGCCAGCGUAAGCUGCGAGGAAGGCGGGGAUGACGUCAAAUCAGCACGGCCCUUACAUCCGGGGCGACACACGUGUUACAAUGGCGUGGACAAAGGGAAGCCACCUGGCGACAGGGAGCGAAUCCCCAAACCACGUCUCAGUUCGGAUCGGAGUCUGCAACCCGACUCCGUGAAGCUGGAUUCGCUAGUAAUCGCGCAUCAGCCAUGGCGCGGUGAAUACGUUCCCGGGCCUUGUACACACCGCCCGUCAAGCCAUGGGAGCCGGGGGUACCUGAAGUCCGUAACCGCGAGGAUCGGCCUAGGGUAAAACUGGUGACUGGGGCU
rnacentral:rRNA from 1 species